rnacentral:miRNA from 1 species
UCAUCAUCAUCAUCAUCAUCAUCAUCAUCAUCAUCAUCAUCAUCAUCAUCAUCAUUAUCGUCACAACACUGCAGGAAUGAUCAUGAUGGGUGUGGUGGAGA